rnacentral:rRNA from 1 species
AACGAACGCUGGCGGCAUGCCUAACACAUGCAAGUCGAACGAGACCUUCGGGUCUAGUGGCGCACGGGUGCGUAACGCGUGGGAACCUGCCCUUAGGUUCGGAAUAACUCCCCGAAAGGGGUGCUAAUACCGGAUAAUGUCUUCGGACCAAAGAUUUAUCGCGUUUGGAUGGGCCCGCGUUGGAUUAGCUAGUUGGUAGUGUAAAAGCCUACCAAGGCGACGAUCCAUAGCUGGUCUGAGAGGAUGAUCAGCCACACUGGGACUGAGACACGGCCCAGACUCCUACGGGAGGCAGCAGUGGGGAAUAUUGGACAAUGGGCGAAAGCCUGAUCCAGCAAUGCCGCGUGAGUGAUGAAGGCCUUAGGGUUGUAAAGCUCUUUUACCCGGGAUGAUAAUGACAGUACCGGGAGAAUAAGCUCCGGCUAACUCCGUG